rnacentral:misc_RNA from 1 species
UGGUUCGAGAACACUCUUUUC